CCCCUCUCAGGGUGGCACCUGGAGAGUUUCCAGUCCUCUACCAGUCUCGGCUACGGGAGGGAGAGUCAAGCAGAGGCCUGUCCAUUCCAUUCCUAGCUUGGCCAGUGGCUGGCGAGUGGAAGGCGACCUGCUCCGAGU